UAGGGAAUCUUCCACAAUGGGCGCAAGCCUGAUGGAGCAACGCCGCGUGUGUGAUGAAGGCUUUCGGGUCGUAAAGCACUGUUGUAUGGGAAGAACGGGUUUAAGAGGAAAUGCUUAGACAGUGACGGUACCAUACCAGAAAGGGACGGCUAAAUACGUG
rnacentral:rRNA from 1 species